UUUUUUCCCCCUUCUUUCUUCUUCAGCCAUGAAACCUAUAGAGGAGAUCUAGAUGAAGAAAGAAAUUGAGCAGAGAAGUUAGGGUUUGUGUCGAAAUCAUGAAUCCUAAUCUAAAUUUCCGAUUCUAUCUCAGAGAAAUAAAGGUGUUGGUUAUGAACCCUUGAGUUGGUCAAUUCCAGUUGGGAUUUGAGAAUAAUCGAAAACGAGAUUUUGGGUGUUCUUGUUUUGAGAUUGAAGGUACGAUUUCAAUCUUAUUUCUUCCUGCUCCGAUCUAUUUAUCACCAGGGAAAGAUUGAUAUUGCAUGCGAAAUGUUUGGUAAAUUGACUGAGACAGCCUGAACCUAUUACCAGCCAGCACCUACGUAGUGCUUUCAUUGCAUGAUUGGUCAGGAAGAUAAAAAGGAAAAAUUGCAUGCAGUGAUGACUACCUUUUAAUCAACCAGAUAGUUCUGAUAAAGCUCAGGACUAAAAAUUCCAAAGAAUAGACUUCAUAGGUACAAAUGGAGGCACAAGACGUAGCUGGACUACUGAAAGUCUCACAUACGCAAUGCUGUUGACAUGAGAUGGUGGCUAAGUUUUCAAAAAGUUCAAAGGCACACAAGUUCGGUGGUAAUCUCUCAAGCUCAGCCAUAAACGGCGACCAUGCGGAAAAAAGAUUGACUUGCGGACUAUCGAUAUUUCCCUGAACCAGACCUUCCAGAAGUGGUUCUCAUGGAGGACUAUGUCGAAAGUAUUCGUGCAUCUUUGCCUGAACUCCCAGAAAUGAAGCGCUGGAGAUUUGAGAAUAUGGGCCUCUCAGCAUGCAGGAUGUACUCGUGCAUCUUUUUUACAAAAAAAUUCCCCCACAGCAUGUAGUGGUGCCGUUUCGUCAGGUUAUUCGGUCGGCCCUUCCACCGUGGCAACGGUUGUACUAGUUUAUUGAAAGUAUAGCUAUUGCUACACCAUAUAUUGCCACACCUUCGAUAUAGGUGUUGUAAAAGAAAAUUUCUACGCACGGUACUUUUUAGGUGCAGCUAAAAGUUAUAAUUUACUGCCGCGAAAUAAAACUUUUGCCACAUAGUUAUAGCAACAAUAUGAAAAGAGUGUGGCAAAAAAGCAUAAUCUCUUGAUGCACCAAUAAAGAUUGGGUGCAGCAAUAGACUUCUUGCUACAUAGGUUUUCGCGAUAUUAAUAGGAGUUUUUGCCAUAAUUAUUGGGUGCUGCAAUAUUGUAGUUGCAGGAAAACCUACAACUAGACCCCAAUAUAACUA